AAAUGCGAUAAGUAAUGUGAAUUGCAGAAUUCAGUGAAUCAUCGAAUCUUUGAACGCACAUUGCGCCCGCCAGUAUUCUGGCUGGCAUGCCUGUUCGAGCGUCAUUACAACCCUCAGGCCCCCGGGCCUGGCGUUGGGGAUCGGCGGAAGCCCCCUGCGGGCACAACGCCGUCCCCCAAAUACAGUGGCGGUCCCGCCGCAGCUUCCAUUGCGUAGUAGCUAACACCUCGCAACUGGAGAGCGGCGCGGCCACGCCGUAAAACACCCAACUUCUGAAUGUUGACCUCGAAUCAGGUAGGAAUACCCGCUGAACUUAAGC
rnacentral:misc_RNA from 1 species